GAAGACCUGUCCUUAGUACGAGAGGACCGGGAUGGACGUACCUCUGGUGUACCAGUUGUCCUGCCAAGGGCAUGGCUGGGUAGCUAUGUACGGAAUGGAUAAGCGCUGAAAGCAUCUAAGCGCGAAGCCAACUUCAAGAUAAGAUUUCCCACCGCAAGGGUAAGACCCCAGAAAGACUAUCUGGUUGAUAGGUCGAAGGUGUAAGU
rnacentral:rRNA from 1 species